AUCCAAGCGUUAUCCGGAUUUAUUGGGUUUAAAGGGUGCGUAGGCGGNUUUUUAAGUCAGGGGUGAAAGACGGUAGCUUAACUAUCGCAGUGCCCUUGAUACUGAAGAGCUUGAAUGUAGUUGAGGUAGGCGGAAUGUGACAAGUAGCGGUGAAAUGCAUAGAUAUGUCACAGAACACCAAUUGCGAAGGCAGCUUACUAAGCUAUGAUUGACGCUGAGGCACGAAAGCGUGGGGAUCAAACAGGAUUAGAUCCCUGGUAGUCCACGCCCUAAACGAUGAACACUCGAUGUUGGCGAUAUACAGUCAGCGUCUAAGCGAAAGCGUUAAGUGUUCCACCUGGGGAGUCCCCGCAAGGGUGAAACUCAAAGGAAUUGACGGGGGCCCGCACAAGCGGAGGAGCAUGUGGUUUAAUUCGAUGAUACGCGAGGAACCUUACCCGGGCUUGAAAGUUAGUGAAUGCAGCAAGACGCUGCAGUUCUUCGGAACACGAAACUAGGUGCUGCAUGGCUGUCGUCAGCUCGUGCCGUGAGGUGUUGGGUUAAGUCCCGCAACGAGCGCAACCCCUAUGUUUAGUUGCCAGCAUUUAAGGUGGGGACUCUAAACAGACUGCCUAUGCAAAUAGAGAGGAAGGAGGGGACGACGUCAAGUCAUCAUGGCCCUUACGUCCGGGGCUACACACGUGCUACAAUGGAUGGUACAGAGGGCAGCUACCUGGCAACAGGAUGCCAAUCUCAAAAAGCCAUUCACAGUUCGGAUCGGGGUCUGCAACUCGACCCCGUGAAGUUGGAUUCGCUAGUAAUCGCGUAUCAGCAAUGACGCGGUGAAU
rnacentral:rRNA from 1 species